rnacentral:rRNA from 1 species
AGUUCCCUCCUGGCUCAGGAUGAACGCUGGCGGCGUGCCUAAUACAUGCAAGUCGAAUGGGUUAGACCCAUGGCGAACGGGUGAGUAACGCGUAGGAACAUGCUCCGAAGUCGGGAAUAUCCUCUCGAAAGAGAGUGUAAAACUCGAUAUGCCGUAAGGUGAAAGUUUACGCUUCGGAAGUGGCCUGCGUCCUAUCAGCUUGUUGGUGAGGUAAAAGCUUACCAAGGCGAUGACGGGUAACUGGUCUGAGAGGACGACCAGUCACAGUGGGACUGAGACACGGCCCACACUUCUACGGAAGGCAGCAGUAGGGAAUUGUCGGCAAUGGGCGAAAGCCUGACCGCGCGACGCCGCGUGAAGGAAGAAGGCCUUCGGGUUGUAAACUUCUUUUAUGAGGGACGAUUAUGACGGUACCUCAUGAAUAAGGGGCUGCUAACUACGUGCCAGCAGCAGCGGUAAUACGUAGGCCCCAAGCGUUAUCCGGAAUUACUGGGCGUAAAGUGCGCGUAGGCGUUUUUGUAAGUCGGUCGUUAAAUCUCACUGCUUAACAGUGAGACCGCGAGCGAUACUACAAGAAUUGAGUUUUGCAGGGGCUAGCAGAAUUUCUGGAGUAGGGGUGAAAUCCGUUGAUACCAGAAGGAAUACCAAUGGCGAAGGCAGCUAGCUGGGCAAUAACUGACGCUGAGAGCGCGAAAGCGUGGGGAGCAAACGGGAUUAGAUACCCCGGUAGUCCACGCUGUAAACGAUGUCAACUAGCAAUAGGAAGAGUCGACCCUUUCUGUUGCGAAGCUAACGCGUCAAGUUGACCGCCUGGGAAGUACGAUCGCAAGAUUAAAACUCAAAGGAAUUGGCGGGGGCUCGCACAAGCGGUGGAGCAUGUGGUUUAAUUCGACAGUAACCGAGAAACCUUAUCCAGGGUUUGACAUCUAAGGAAUCUCCGAGAAACCGGAGAGUGCCGUAAGGAACCUUAAGACAGGUAUUGCACGGUCGUCGUCAGUUCGUGGCGUGAGCUGUGCGGUUAAGUCCGUAAACGAACGAAACCCUUAUCCUAUGUUGGAUAUUCAUAGGAGACUGCCCUGGCAACAGGGAGGAAGGUGGGGAUGACGUCAGAUCCGCGUGAUCUUUAUACCCUGGGCUACACACGUGCUACAAUCCGGCAGACAAUGGGUCGCCAACCCGUGAGGGGGAGCUAAUCCCAUCAAAAUGCCGGUCAGUUCGGAUUGAAGUCUGCAACUCGACUUCAUGAAGCCGGAAUCGCUAGUAAUCGUGAAUCAUCAUGUCACGGUGAAUACGUUCUCGAGCUGC